AAAGGAAUUGACGGGGACCCGCACAAGCGGUGGAGUAUGUGGUUUAAUUCGACGCAACGCGAAGAACCUUACCAGGGCUUGACAUCCCGGGCUACUCAUGGAAACAUGGGGUUCUUACCUUCGGGUAGGACUCGGAGACAGGUGGUGCAUGGUUGUCGUCAGCUCGUGUCGUGAGAUGUUGGGUUAAGUCCCGCAACGAGCGCAACCCCUACUUUUAGUUGCCAGCAUUAAGUUGGGCACUCUAAAGGAACUGCCGGUGAUAAACCGGAGGAAGGUGGGGAUGACGUCAAAUCAUCAUGCCCUUUAUGUCCUGGGCUACACACGUACUACAAUGGUCGGUACAGAGGGCAGCGAAGCCGUGAGGUGGAGCGAAUCCCAAAAAGCCGGUCUCAGUUCGGAUUGCAGGCUGCAAUUCGCCUGCAUGAAGUCGGAAUCGCUAGUAAUCGCGAGUCAGCAUAUCGCGGUGAAUACGUUCCCGGGUCUUGCACACACCGCCCGU
rnacentral:rRNA from 1 species